GCCUAGCCGUAAACAUAAACAGCCUGUCACCCCGCUGUUCGCCCGGGUACUACAAGCCCUAGCUUAAAACCCAAAGGACUUGGCGGUGCUUUAGACCCCCCUAGAGGAGCCUGUUCUAGAAUCGAUAAUCCCCGUUCCACCUCACCCUCUCUUGUUCUCCCCGCCUAUAUACCGCCGUCGUCAGCUUACCUUGUGAAAGAUGAAUAGUAAGCAAAAUUGGCAGAGCCCAAAACGUCAGGUCAAGGUGUAGCGUAUGAGAGGGAAAGUAAUGGGCUACAUUUACUGUCCCAGUAAACACGGAUCUUGCAGUGAAACGAGCAUCUGAAGGAGGAUUUAGCAGUAAGAGGGGACUAUGAGAGCCCCCCUGAAAACGGCCCUGAAGCGCGCACACACCGCCCGUCACUCUCCCCACCGGACCCCUGCACAUAAAUAAUACCUGCCCACCACAAAGGGGAGGCAAGUCGUAACAUGGUAAGCGUACCGGAAGGUGCAGCUUGGAAAAACC
rnacentral:rRNA from 1 species